rnacentral:lncRNA from 1 species
UUGUUUGCACAAAGCAUUAUAAAAUAUUGUGAUAUUUUAUUAUUAAAAUGCGCUGAAAAGUUUAUACAUGUGUGUCUGGCAAUAUAUAUCUUCUAUCAUUACUUAAGGCAAAAUAAGGAAUAAAAUCUCAAAAUGAUAGCACAAGGAACCAUUGAAACUUAUGUCCCUUUGAAGAUCAUGGAAAAGCCUAGGAAAGGAUUUUUUUCUUACUUUUUCUCAUUUUUUUCUUUUUUCUCUUUUUUUUUAUAAAUAGCAACUAUAUUUUUCUCAUAGAAGUCUAUGAGGAUUCUAUAACUUCUUUUCAUGUAGAAAUGAGAUAUCUUGUAAGAUGUACUAAAUCACCUUUGAUCAUAAUCUCCUGUAAAAGCUAAAGUUAUUUAUUUAACAGGAACUCUUCUUUUCCGUAAGACGUCACAAGACUGUCAUGUUUAUUGUACAUAUUGCUAGUAGGAGACAAUUGAAAAUAUAAAACAAAUACUGGAAUUCAUAUUACAGACAGACAAAACCAGCAUGGUGCCACACAUCACUUCCUUUGUAGUUUCAUGGAGAGCCUGUUUGUGGUUGCUCAGGUGGGGUCAUACAUUGCGUGCAGAAAUGGCCUAAUCAUAGCUCUAUGAAACAAUGAAUUGGGAAUGAAAUCUUACCAUGUCACCUCUGUGUAGGAAAGAAAUGUUGCUUCAAGUGUGCUAAGUGCAGAUCAUAAUAUUUCAUGUAUUUAUAUAAAGAGAAUCACUUUCAAAUUUAACCCAAGAUAAGCAACAAGUUUUGGGGGUGAUUUUAUGUAUAUCUUAAAUUUUUCUGUUUUCUAGAGGUGACUCUCAAACACUGAUAUAUCACUAUGGUUUGAGUGUAGGGAUUCAGUAAUCAAAGUUGUUAUUGCAAAAGAGUCAGGUAGCUGGACAAAUUUUAUGGGGAAUACCCACUUUAGUAGAGGCAUUUAACAUUGGAUUUCUAGAGUAAUCCACAAUGGAGCCAAGGGACAUGAUCUUCAAAUAUCUUUGGCUACUGUUUCUUAGUAAUGCAGUAAUCUUUGAAAGACAAAAUAUAGAACAACCAUUGCUUCUGUGUUUCCUUCUGCCUUGUAACAAUCCAAACAUUCCUGAAAAUGAGAAAUGAGAAAAUGACAAGCAGUUGGAGAGACAAAUAUCUGAUCCCCAGGUAACCAAUUUAAAAUGGGUGAAUAAAUUCCCUUCAGUAUCUUGUCAGUGAAGAUAUCCUAAUUUCCUCCUCCCCCCCAAAAAAAAAACCUAUGCAAAGCAGUUUUAAUGUUCUAUCCUUUUCCCCCCAUUCUUCUAUAAUA